CAUCGACAAUGGUAUUGUAUCGCUUUUUUUAUUCACAAACAAGACAAACCCCAUAAUAAAUAUUUCUAAAGUAUCUUUGGAUUUCAUAUUAAGAAUUAUGGGCAAGCAAAUCACAUGCACACAUUUGAUUUUAUGCAUAAGGUGCUCUGAUAUUGUCAGCAACGAGGAACCCGGCCUAGAUUGAUUGUAAAAAACACCCUAUUUCAGUGAUUUUUUCGAAUUCCUAAAGGUACCCCUUUUUCUACGUUUUAUUUUCCUAGAUUUAAAGAAAAGCUACUCCUUUGCCAGAGGUUUUCUGGACACGCCUCCCAAGGGGGUCUGUUUCAUCUUUAUUCUUGAAAUGAGUAGCCUGCGCGCAGCCUCAAACAUUUCUAUCCCUUCGGGAUAGAAGUUUGAGGCUGCGCGCAGGCUAAAAAUGAGGGGAUUAGAAAGUGAAGAUUUGAAAAAGAGUUCUUAUUGAAAAGGGAUUGUUGCAGAGAUUCAAUUCUGAACCGUAAAGGAUUUUUUCUCACGUUCUCACCAGUUAAACCAAGGAUGCUUGGACUUGGACUAGAUGUUCAACCUUUAUGGGCCUCUAUGUUCAGUUUCGAAGAUUAUUUGGAACGGCGUCACGGAUGGACGAGAGAUACAGAGAGGGGCACGUAAAAUGUAACUAGAUUAAGGGGGCUAUGUAUGGCUUCCUAUCACUGACAAGUGACAUCCAGUAAGCCCUCCCUCUCGAAUACCUCUACUAUGGAAGUUGUUGUCAAGCCCUCACUUUUGCGUUUAUAAUGUGUUUUCAAAAUACAUAGUUCACUUGAAUACUUGACAAAAAGAUCACCAAAGCGAUGCAAAUAUCAAUAUUUUGGGCUAAAACAUCUUUAGCGUGUUGAUCUAAAACCAUUGAGUUGAGUUGAAUUAGUUAGUGACGUAAAUUGAGAUUCGGUGAAAGAAGUUACUAGUAAAUAAGAGCCAGCUGAUCGCCAUGCUCAGCGGUCUCUUUUUGAUACAAUUGUUAUCGCUCCGCACAUGCGUAUCACUCAAUCAAUAUUGGAUUAUCUGUGGUUGUUUGCUCGUCGAGACUCGCCUUUGACGGGAAGGACGAAGUUGGAAAGUUGGAAGUUAAAUGCUUGAAACACACAUUGAAUAUUGCAAAUAUGAAUGACGAUUUAUACAGCCGAGGAUCAAAGCGAAGGCUUUCUGAUGUAGAUGACAAUGAAAGGCUUACACAAAGACAAACAAUACUUAACAUGUCAAUAUGCAAAUUACAAAAAGACUAUGGCAAAAAGGAGCCACCUCUUCUCAGACAAAUACUAAUUACAAAUACUGUACAUAAAAUAGAACAAGAAAUGGAUGAAGAAUCACAAAUGAAUGUUUUGAAAAAUGAAGAUUUAUACCCACUUUAUGGCAGAUCAAUUGAAGCUGAAUUUAAAGACUGGACGAAAAGAGAGGCCAAAGCUUUUGUUGAUGAAUCUAGAAAUCCAGAUGAAAUAAGAGCCAGUUUUGCAGACAUUGGUACUGGAAUUUCAUCAAACAACAACAAUGAUAAUGAAGCUUUUGUGAUUCAAGAGACACCUAACAAAGAACCAAAUAAGUUUGGUGCCAUCGGUGAUCACAGAAAACAGGGUCAGUCUCAGUUAACAAAAAAGCACGCCGACAAGCAAAAUUAUUUCCACACACUUGGCUCUGACAUGAAGAUCUGGGAAGAUUGCAGCCAGCUUCAGCUGCCAAUGAUUUCUCUCCCUCCUUCAUCUGAAAACUUGACAGACAUUGAAUCAUUUUUCCACGAUAUAGAUAUAACCCUUUAUGAUUUUGACUUCAUGGCCUGGACCCCACAGCAACAUGAUUGGGGUAAAGGGGCAGAUGCUGUGCACUUUGCUUUGCCUUCCAUGAGUUGUGCUGCUGAAGUGGACAAGAAAAAAGGAGAUUCCUUCUUUGAUGACCUCGACCAGAUCAUGCAAGUCCUGGUGGGUAUGUAAUAUACAAAACACAGGUAAUACAUAUAGAUAUUUGGAUGCUAUUUUUGAAUUAUAAAUUCAAAUUCAUAUAUUUCUGCUCUCACUUUGUCCAGUGAUUGACAGUAAGAGACUCAGGAAUGGUUUUACUUUUUGCCACAUGUUUUUAGUCUGAUCGUCGGUACUUCUCUGUAAUGAAAUAUAAUAACAUAAGUGAUUUGUUGCUCCAACGCAUAAGAAAGUUUCUAUUCCUGAUCCUCUUACUCCUGUCACUUGAAAACUGAGUAGAUAUGUUUAAUCAUAAUCAUUUGAUUUGUAAAUAUUCAGAUUGCCAUUUUGGGUUUUAAAAUCUUUCAUAUAAAAUAUAUCAGACUUUCUUAGUGUCUAAAGCUAUCUUUCAUAUAGAGUGUUGAAAUUGUAAUUUAUGUCUUUUGUUGGUACAAAUUAAUGUAUAAGGUAGUAAUUUUUUUAUUCUUCGCACCCUUUCAUGCAGUUACAUCUACCAUGUAGAUAUGUUGUUCACUAAACCUAUUUGUUUUGGGUUAAACUAACAGUGGCAUGCAGGCAUUUGCAAAGUAUGAUUAUCUGUUGUUAUAGAUGGGGUGGCAUGUGAAAUUACAGCAAAAUAUCAAUAUAUAUUUAUAUAUUGUAAAGGAUUGUGUAUCUGUAUCUUGCUAUUAACCUCUGGCAGGUACACUCCUUUCAUAAUCUAAGAAAAAUUAAGAUGUAACAUAAGAUAACAUGAACUAGAAUGCCUUAUCAGUUACAAAAAGUUUUUCUAUGUUUUUUUAAAGUGAUUGAAUGGGAAAUAAUUGUCUAGUGGCCGAAAUGAAUCAUUUCCAUACCUUCUUUAAAACAUAUUGAUUUUAAACCGCUUUUUCUUAACUAUGUGAAUAUAGGAGACACAGCUACUGUAUCAACUAAAUUCAUGGUCAAAUAUUUGUAAACAACCUUGUAAAAACAUUUGCCUUGAUGCAUUUUGUGAAUUAUUUAAAGGCAUCCUUGCCAAUGUCUGUAAUGCUGUUCUUGAUAACAUUUUUGCUAGCAGUAAAUGUUUUCUGCAAUGCCAUUAAUUAUUUCCAUGUGAGUUUCAGGUAAGAAAAG